UUUUAAUCACUUCUACAGUUUUUAUCUGAUCGCAACCAAAUUUUCAGGAAUCACAAUUACUAUCGUUAUUAUUGUAUAUACCAAAAUUCCAGCUCCAGAGAUGCCUCCUUAUACCUGUUACAUACUAUACAUUUCCUGCCGGCUCAAAGUUAUAAUACCCUUAUACCCUAUGGUUAGCGGGUAUAAAAAGUAAAAAACUAUAUAACUAAACAAGACACUGUGAAGCGUCGUGCGAUUCCACCAAAUGAGCUAUUAGCCCUGACAUUGCAUUUUUUAGCCACGGAAGUGAUUCAUAUCAUUCUGUGAUGUUUCUUUGUCGCAUUCCUGUGAGCACGGUUGCACAAAUUGUGCCGGAGUGAAUGAAUGCCCAAAAAGGGAAUAUCUUAAAGUAUGUAUGUAAAUUUUAUAUGCAUUUACCAUUUUACCAUCGCAAAAGGCAAGAACUGGAGAGUUGGUAGAUGAGUACACGAUAUUAGGCGUGGAUCAAGUAAAAGUGUCCUCGCUAUCAAUUUCCGAUACUUCCAAAAUAGCUCUUUGAAUUUUUCUGCGAAGCAGAAGUCUAUUUUAUUUUGAUGUGAUUUCAACCUUUUUAAAAUGCUGAUCUUCGUCCUUAAAUUCUAUCACAUAACGUUUUCUUUUUUUUGUUUUGGAUGUACUUGGUACGUCAUCUGUCAUCUGUAAAACACGUAGAUAUUAAAGAUCCGUCUAACAGUG